rnacentral:pre_miRNA from 1 species
UAUGUACUCCCUCCGUCUGAAAAUACUUGUCAUCAAAAUGGAUAAAAAGAGAUGUAUCUAAACUAAAAUAUAUCUAGAUACAUCCCCUUUUAUCCAUUUUGAUGACAAGUAUUUUCGGACGGAGGGAGUAAUUA